rnacentral:rRNA from 1 species
UCUUGGUCAUUUAGAGGAAGUAAAAGUCGUAACAAGGUUUCCGUAGGUGAACCCGCGGAAGGAUCAUUAAAGAAAUUUAAUAAUUUUGAAAAUGGAUUUUUUUGUUUUGGCAAGAGCAUGAGAGCUUUUACUGGGCAAGAAGACAAGAGAUGGAGAGUCCAGCCGGGCCUGCGCUUAAGUGCGCGGUCUUGCUAGGCUUGUAAGUUUCUUUCUUGCUAUUCCAAACGGUGAGAGAUUUCUGUGCUUUCGUUAUAGGACAAUUAAAACCGUUUCAAUACAACACACUGUGGAGUUUUCAUAUCUUUGCAACUUUUUCUUUGGGCAUUCGAGCAAUCGGGGCCCAGAGGUAACAAACACAAACAAUUUUAUCUAUUCAUUAAAUUUUUGUCAAAAACAAGAAUUUUCGUAACUGGAAAUUUUAAAAUAUUAAAAACUUUCAACAACGGAUCUCUUGGUUCUCGCAUCGAUGAAGAACGCAGCGAAAUGCGAUACGUAAUGUGAAUUGCAGAAUUCCGUGAAUCAUCGAAUCUUUGAACGCACAUUGCGCCCCUUGGUAUUCCAGGGGGCAUGCCUGUUUGAGCCCCAUUUCCUUCUCAAACAUUCUGUUUGGUAGUGAGUGAUACUCUUUGGAGUUAACUUGAAAUUGCUGGCCUUUUCAUUGGAUGUUUUUUUUCCAAAGAGAGGUUUCUCUGCGUGCUUGAGGUAUAAUGCAAGUACGGUCGUUUUAGGUUUUACCAACUGCGGCUAAUCUUUUUUUAUACUGAGCGUAUUGGAACGUUAUCGAUAAGAAGAGAGCGUCUAGGCGAACAAUGUUCUUAAAGUUUGACCUCAAAUCAGGUAGGAGUACCCGCUGAACUUAAGCAUAUCAAUAAGCGGAG